rnacentral:tRNA from 1 species
UAGUUGUAUAGCUCAGUUGGAUAGAGCAUUCGCCUUCUAAGCGAACGGUGGCAGGUUCGAAUCCUGCUACAACUGU